GGCCCCUGUGUUGCCCAUUCAUUUUUGCUGUUGGUGAAUGUGGUGUCAGAAGGGGCAAAAAUUAAAAUUCCUUGUGGCAUUUUAAAAUACCUUAGAUUUCCCAUCUAAAGGCUCUUGUUCACUUGGGACAAAUUA